UUCGGGAGCACCCUGAGGGGAAGGGGACCCAAGAUGGCGCCCUGGUUUAAAUCUCCCGCCUACCGGCGCCUCGGCCGCUGAUUGGCUGCGACCAAGCGUAACGGCCGCGCUGAGGGAGCCGCCAUCUCCGCCUCAAGAUGGAGGCGGCGGAGGACGGGUCCCGGCGGCAUUCACCGCUCUCCGCCGGCCGUGUGCUGGCCUGGAAGGGGUUAACCCUCCUCGGCUGAGCUCCAUCCCUGAGGGAGGCCUGGCUUUCCUCAGGGACUCGGUUUUAUCCCUGCGAACCAGCUUUAACCUGAACAGUUUUCCUCUCCGGAGAUCGCAGCCUUUAGAGACCUGCCUAUAAACCUUGGGCAUGCAUCACCCCGCAGAGCUCUCCAAGAGGCACAAACAGUCACAGCAUUCCUAAAACCCUAUAACACCCUUCAUAGAUACAUCACCUCCACCCCCGGCUCAACUUCUCCCCAGCAAUGAAACAAGAAGACAUUGAGACACCAAACCGAAGCACUCACCCUCCGAUGCCUAUGAUGUAUUUCAUUUCCUCGGCAGGAAUGCGGGAAUCCAUUCAGAGAAAUGAAUAUGCAGAGGCUGAGGGGUGAAUCCAUCUGGACCAGAACUUUUAGGAGGAGCUCCUUAAACACUUCAUUCUCUGGCCAUAGGCCCAAAUAAAUGAAUAUAUAAAUACAUAAAUAACAUAAAAUGCCAGUAGCUUUCUGGAGGGCCUCCUGCUCUGCAGGUCACUCGUGUUAAGGUAGUGCUUUUUGAGGUAAGUUAACUACACUGGACUGCUUCCUCAAGUGAAAACCUCUCACCACAUGCACCUUGUGGAAAAUGGGUUUUAAUUGUGUCAAAUGCUUCUAAAACCAGGGCUGGCUUGAGAGGUGUUAGGUGAAGGCAGAGUUGGCCAUGGCUCUGGAGGCUCUUCAGCUCCAUGCCAAGUGUACAGUAUAUGCUUUUAAAUAAAAGCUUAUCUAAUAGGGCUUAAACCAUCCAAAACAUUGUGUGCUUUUGUUCUUCCUUCUUAUAAAAUCAGUCUAUGGAACAUUACAAGGCAUACUCAAGGAUUCCUUGAUGUCCUCAAACUGUUUGACAUCAUUAAGUUUUAUUCAGAACAACUGUCCCUUAACUGUAUUUAACUGAAUGGUUUUCUGCCUCUAUUUCAGGCCUGCAGAACGGUUUUGUGGUCUAAACUCUUGUUUGUCUCGCUGCAGCUAUGUCAGUUGAUCUAAUAAAAGAUGUUACU